GAUCUACAGUAAUUUUAAGAAUGGAACUGGUACAUACUUUAUGUACAGUGUAGUUUGACUUAUAGGUGUAUGGAAUAAAGAAAUAACAUAAAACAUGCCAGCUUUCCCUAGGAUUUACUACUUAAGGGUGUGAGGUCCCCAGUUUUACUUAAAAUGGAAGGUUAAGUAAAAUUAUAGUAAAAUAUUUGCUCAUUUUAUAAUUUCGUAAUUUUAGUACAAUUAAAGGUGUAUCGUUCGUCCAGCUAUUGUCAGAAAGCGUCUUUUUCCUGGUAAGUCACAGCAACCCAGAGCCUUCCCAGAAACACAGGGGGCAAAGUGCUCUUUGAAGGCAGAAGGAACCCAUUACAUAGAAUGAUAUUAGAUAGUCUCAUCCUGCACAAAGGCCUUGCAUUCUAUGUCCUGCAUGCAAUUUGUUACACAGAUUUGUUUUUCCUUUAAGUGUUUUAUUAAACUCCAACUUUAGAUGGCCCUGGAUAUUUCCCAAUAUCUUUUCUUACAUUUUAUGGGUUAGAAUGUUUAGAAUAGAUUAGAAUCAUCUUGUUUGUAUUGCAUACAGUGUAUGUAAUCCAUAUUGUACCUUGGUCUUGAAAAAGUAAAAUAUACUGUAAAGUCCAAGUUCUUCUCUUGUUUUUCAGUGUUAGUCCAGAUAUCACUUGCUAUAUGGCUUUUUUAUAGCCAAUACAAUAUAUUAUAUUAGGUAUAUACUGUAUGAGGUAGCACAUACUGUAUAGCACAUAAAUACCUAAUGAAUUCUGACCUAAUUGAGGUAAGUAGUGCAUUAAAGGCAAAAACAGCAAAGGGAAGCUCCGAACGGCUAAAUAUCAAUUUGACACAAUAAGAGGCUUGUUACUGAAUGACUUCAGUUCUGAAAGUGAAUAAGCAAAUUGAAUUAUUAAGAUGAUUUGUUGUUUAAACCAUGGUAUUCUGUGCACCUAUCACAUUUACCUUUCAAACAAAAAAAUACUUUUUAAGAUAGUUGGCACUAUCUUUCUUAUUAAUGAGGUUAUAAGGCACCUGAAUGGUUGUUUCCAGUAGCCUGUAGCUGCAAUUUCCUAAGCAACAGUACUGGUGGAACUGGUCGGGCUUGACUUGGUCCAAUAUUAAACUGGGAUUGUUGCAUAGCAACAGCCUCUUGGAUCGGUCAGGCAACUCGGAGUAAAUGAGACGCGGCACACUUUGCAUCAGGAGAAUAGCUCCUACCUGGAAGAUGCAGGUUCAAGCACCACAGUCAGAAUUUCUUCACUUUCCGGACAACAUAAGCUUCUGUAGGCCUGUUCCACUGGCACACCAGGGACACCAAGGACAGAGCUGGAGCGAGCAGAGAAAAUUACCCUCCGCUCCCUGGAGGAAUGUUUUUUGUGCAUUCUGGAUUGUGCGAAAUAUGCACAGUUAUACAAAAGGGCCCACAUGGCCACCUGCUCAAUGGGAGAGUUUCCUCACACAACAAAUAAUAUCAUGACAGCACCUGUGAGUUGGUCUGGCUCUCUUGUGUCAGUUAUAUUCCAAGACCAUUUCUUUUUUUUUUGACAGAAAGCUUUAUUUAUAUCAGGUUACAGUUUGUCUCUUUCAAAGCACUGUGCACGGGGACUACAAAACCAGACUGAGCUGCCCUCAUAUAGGAAUUGUACCUCCUAUUUGUGUACAGAUCUCCUACUGUAUGUGUGCAAUGAUAUGAAGAUCGCUGACGAUGUACCUGCACUUAUCUGUCUUUUAAUCUUACUUGUUCGUCUCAAAGCUGACUGAACGACCUAAAUUAAGAGGAGCAACGGAUAACUGUACCGAUAAAGGAGAAUUGUCAGUUUGCUUUUAUACAGAAAGGGAAAUGAGUUUGGUUUUUUUUUUCCUGAGUCAACUGAAUUUUUAUUUUCAUGUUGGUGGACUCUGGGAGAAAUGGCUGUGGUGUUUUCGAAUUAGGAGGUGGCAAACUCUGAUUCUGGCGCAUUUCGAAUCAAACAGAGGGCGCCCAGUAUGAAUCUGAUUUGGUAACAGCUGCCGUAACUGCAGUGUCUUAUCAGUUGAUCUAGCUUGCUUUCCUGCUGCCAUUUCACACUUGCUCUUUAGGCUUUCUGAAACAACGUUGGUCUUGGAUCCAGCAGGGGUGUUGCCUCAGUCUGCCUUGCCCUGCACCGUAGAACCAGGUAUUCCACACUUCGCUGUCCCGCUGCGCUUCAUACCUGGCCCACUCUGGCUUUCCUGAUAAGAAACGCUCUUCUUUUUGGGGUGAGUGCGUGCGUUGCCGUGGUUACCGAAACGCCUCCCUCACAGGCGUCAUCAUUGCAACCACCUCCACUGCGAACGGCGAGGCUAGCCUCCCGGCACAUUGUUUACGAGAUGAAAAGGAGAGCUCUUGUCGAUGCGGGCAGAUAAUGACCAAUUUGGGUCUGUCUUUUUUUUUUUUUUAUUCCAUGCUGUCCAUUCAGAACGAGAAAACCUAGUCAUUUCAGUCGUUUGUGGUGACAAAGCUGCUGAUCCAUUUCACAUGACAGUCAGGCCAAUUUUGAUUUUCUUCCUUUUUUGUGAGGGUGUGUGACAGCCAAGGAAAGUCGCAGGUGCAGACUAAAAGAAUGAUGCAUUCUCCAUGUGUUCUGUUUUUCCUGACUCGUUUGAAACAGACCACAGAUAACAAUAGGGACCCAUUGUUUGGCAUAAAAGGGUGUUCGUAUUUGAAUCUACACCUCAUUGAAGAAGAGAGGGAGUAUAUGUAGUGGAGAAGUGUGUGACAUUGGAGAUGACAAAGAUUGUGUGUGAUUAUCUAUUUCGUGCUGAGGAUUAUUAUUUUUUCACAUUUGAAAAGCUGAAAAUCCUCUUUGGAUCCUUCAGAAAACCUCACAUACAAAGGUCCGAAGCAUCUACCCACUGCACGCAAAUGGACACAGCUGGAGUGGAAUUUGUGCCCUUUUGUUCUGAAAAUUGUGAGGCUGUUCUUCUCAGCUCACACUUUGACCUGCUUUCAUCCUGGGUCACUCUGGCAGCUGGCACCAAAAUAUUUGACCCAAGUCGUCAGUGAUUCACUUUUUUCAAAGGUUGCUUCUCAAACCAUUUGUGCUCCUGUGCCAGGCUGGACGAUGGAGAAAUAUAUAUAUAUAUAUUUUUCUCGGGGGGUUAAGAAGAAAGGCGAAUUUGUUAGACUGUCAUACCCAAGCCUGGAGCACCUCCGGAGAGUCUGUUCUCCUUUUUACUUGUUCUGUGUACAAUUUGAUGAUAGACGUGGGAUGUUAAAUACGAUUUAAAAAAAAACUCAAAAUGUGUCAUAUGUUUGUGAUCUGUCUCAAUCAUUAGCAUGCUUUAUACAAGAACGAGCAGCUCGUAAAAUGGAGUUUAUAAGAAAGGUUCUGGAGCCAUGACAACACCCAGUUGCAUCUGCUUCAGCUGUCAGUAAUUUGAAAUCAAUCCUGACGUCAUUUCCACACCAAAACAUUAUAAAUACUGAGUGCUCACAUUUAGCUGUUGCCAAUUGAAGACAAGCUCUGACCUCAGGGAGAAACCCUGAAAUCAGGAAAUUCCCACCUGCCAUGUGAUCCGGCACCCUGACUCCACUCUUCUCUCAUCUUUAAAGAAAGGCUCGGAGUGGUGAGAAGGUGGGCAGACAUUAGCUCACUGGGAGACGUCUGACACUGGUGCCAUGAACUGCAGCUCCAACAGGAAGCCCGUUGACACCACAGAGGGGAGGAGGUCUUCGGUUGUCAGGGAUCAUGACCCAGAACUCAAUGACAGGCCCACCUGCCCAAGCUGACGCACAACAGGAGGAGCGUGGUAGAGUGGCUCAGUCCCCCCACAGCUCCCCACAGGACCCCCAGGGCCCGUGGUGGGAGAAUCUAUGGAGGGCCGUGGUGACCGCUGGCUGCACCGUCUGCGUUUGUGUCUUCUCCCAAAUAGCGGGUGUUUGGAUCUUGUACAUGUGCAAUGGAUAUGAAGCCUUCCCUGCAGCUCACAAAGUGUUGGAUCUGAUGCAGUACCUGCUGACACCACUAGGAGCAUACAAUUCAGUGGAGGAGACAUCCCCAUCCUUACAGAAAGAGCUGUGGAGAAUGGAAAGCUUGUGCCCCCUGCUGGCUACAGUGUUCCUUGGCAUAGUUAUCCUUGGGAUAGGGAUACUCUACUGUCUGAGGACGAUCGCUCCAGGGAUCCCUGCUUUUCCUGAUGACCGCCGCCAGUCCAUGAGCCGCCAGCCAUCCUUCACCUACUCCGAGUGGACUGACGGCAAGCAGGAGGACUUCUUUGACCUGAACCCUGUGCCCGAGACUCCUGUGUUUGACUGCUUUAUGGACAUGAAGCCCGAGGCCGAUCCAGCCACACUGACUGUCAAGCCUGUCGGCCUGCAGGAGAGGAGGGGGUCCAACGUGUCCCUGACCCUGGACAUGUGCACCCCUGGCUCCACGGAGUCCUAUGGGUGCAUGCUGUCCCCGCGGGAGCAGUCGGCGCGCGAGUACCUGCAGAGAGCCACCAACGUGCUGACAGCGGCAGAGCUGCACGAGCGGGCGAUGGACUCCUUCACCCUGCAGGCCGAGUUCUUCGAGACACCUAUGAACUUUGUGGACCCUAAGGAAUAUAACAUCCCUGGUGUUGUUCGGAAGAAUCGAUACAAAACAAUUCUUCCCAAUACUCAUAGCAGAGUCUGCCUUAAAGCAACUGAUGAAGAUGAUUUUCUUAGUACAUACAUCAAUGCUAACUAUAUAAGGGGCUAUGGGGGACAGGAAAAAGUCUAUAUUGCAACUCAGGGGCCCACAGUUAACACUGUCAGUGACUUCUGGAGAAUGGUAUGGCAGGAGAAGUCUCCUAUCAUCGUCAUGAUAACCAACAUCGAGGAGAAAAAUGAGAAAUGUACUGAAUACUGGCCAGAAGACAGUGUGACCUAUGAAGGAAUUGAAAUGACUGUAAACCAGGUGAUACAGGCAGAUGACUACAGCCUGAGACUUAUAACUCUAAAGAGCGAGGGAGAGGAGCGGGGUCUCAGACACUACUGGUACACAUCCUGGCCAGAUCAGAAGACCCCUGACAAGGCCCCCCCGCUACUGGAGCUGGUCCAGGAGGUGGAGGAGGCCCAGGAGCAAGCCCCUCCAGGGAGCGGUCCGGUCAUCGUCCACUGCAGUGCAGGGAUUGGCCGGACUGGCUGCUUUAUCGCCACCACCAUUGGCUGCAAACAACUGAAGAACGAGGGGGUUGUAGACAUUCUGAAGACCACCUGCCAGCUGCGUCUGGACCGAGGAGGAAUGAUUCAGACGUCGGAACAGUACCAGUUUGUUCACCAUGUCCUCAGCCUGUACGAGAAACAGCUUUCUCACCCCACGGAAGAAUAACUCUCACCCUCUUGCCAUCUGCCCUGAGAGCCUGGGGCAUCUCGGAUUCCAGCAUACAGCCAUCUCCUGCCUAUCAAGUUUGGGUAACCCUGGAGACCCUGUGAGAACCCCCUGGCCGGACCCUGCUCCACUUCUCUUCUCUGCAUCGCGCUCAUUUCUACACAUUUACUCAUUAGUACUAAUGAAGUGUGGAGGCGUUUAUCUGCUCCUUCGUUGCUGGAGGGCCUUUUUGUAAGUAAAAUAGCUUGACAAUACUCGGCAGGGGGAAAGAGAAGUCAGAAAGGAUUUCCUAUCUGUACCCCUCAACUCACCUGAGAGGAACAUGGCCAACAGGUCAACACAUUAUUUCAAUAUCUUCAAGUUUUACAGAAAUGCCUUUCCCAUUUUUAACCAUCAUUUUCUUCUUUUUUUGUUGCCAAAAUGAACAAAUGUGACAUUUUUCCUUUCUUGGACAUUUUAGAGACAGCCAGCUCUUGCACUCUUUUCUUUCCUCUCUUCGCAGACGGCACACACGGUCCACAGCGGACGGUUUGGUUAAUAACCGCGAGGCUACAGUUCGAGGUCCGCAAUAGGCACUUGAGAGAAAGCAGUUGUCAGCAGAGCUAGAAGACUGCCUUGCCUGUUGAGCAGAACUGAAUCUAUCCAGGCCGAAUAUCAACCAAAGGGUUGUGGGGGAGCUGGAGCCUGUCCCGGCAAGGCAGGGUA